CCCCCCAGAGAUCUGCUUAUGAGUGCAUGGGGGAUUGCUGUGAACCUUCUCUCCUGUUUUAAACAGACUUUGGAGGCUGGCGCAUGAAUCUUCAUUCACAAAAGGUAUCAACAGUAUGUCUGUGGAAGUUCCAUUAUUCCUGGGAGUUAUGCCCAGCAACACAAACCAAUCAUGUCCAGCAUGUACAUUGGAUCUGCUAACUUUACUUUAGGAUUCCUAGGAUUUCAAAAGUUCAUCAUGUUCAGGAAAGAAGACAUUUUAAUUGGUAAAUGAAGGGGAGAAAAAUUGGAAGGGAGAAGGUGUAUAGUUUACAUGGUGCAUUUAAAGUACUAUGACUAGGGUGAAGAAGGUGAUUUCACUUGGAUAACUGAGGCUUGGUUAACUGAGGAACAGAAACAACACAGCUCUAUGGUCUGCAUAAACAGAUGAUUAACAUAUGAUUAAUAGCUGGCCAUACCAAGUUUGAACCUGACCACCCCAUUUUUGGAGUAUAGAAGCUAAAUUGGAGAAAGUUAAAUAAAGGAAUUUUACCAGAGGAAAAAUUUAUUUUAUCAGAGAUAGCACAUUCUAUUCAUCAGUCAAGGAAACAUAUACUCAGCCUUCUACAUAUUGUCCAGAACCAGAAGAAGAAGCCAGUGGUGUUUUAUAAUUGAAAACCUCAGUGACAUCUCUUCAGAUUUUUUUUUCCUAGACUUUUGAAAUUUUAAACUAAAAAAAAAAAUCAUAACAUGUAUAUCUCAGA